UGAUAAUCACACUAGUCAUGUCACCAUCGAAAUUCUAAUUAUCCCAAACAAAAUCAGAAAAAUUCGGAUGGUACAGCCAUCUAGUUAAAAACUAGAAGGGACGCUCGAACAGGGAAUUAAGAGCAAAACAAAUAUUUCAGAAACAAUAGUCUAUGAUCUUAUUUAAUUAUUGGGAGAUAAGUAACCAAACAAUUUAGAAA
rnacentral:lncRNA from 1 species